UACGUAGGAGGCGAGCGUUGUCCGGAAUCACUGGGCGUAAAGCGCACGUAGGCGGCUUUGUAAGUCGGAUGUGAAAUCCCUCGGCUUAACCAAGGAAGUGCAUCCGAAACUACAGAGCUUGAGUACUUAAGAGGAUCGCGGAAUUCCCGGUGUAGAGGUGAAAUUCGUAGAUAUCGGGAGGAACACCAGUGGCGAAGGCGGCGAUCUGGGAAGAUACUGACGCUGAGGCGCGAAAGCGUGGGUAGCAAACAGG
rnacentral:rRNA from 1 species